rnacentral:rRNA from 1 species
AUACGGAGGAUCCGAGCGUUAUCCGGAUUUAUUGGGUUUAAAGGGAGCGUAGGUGGAUUGUUAAGUCAGUUGUGAAAGUUUGCGGCUCAACCGUAAAAUUGCAGUUGAAACUGGCAGUCUUGAGUACAGUAGAGGUGGGCGGAAUUCGUGGUGUAGCGGUGAAAUGCUUAGAUAUCCCGAAGAACUCCGAUUGCGAAGGCAGCUCACUAGACUGUUACUGACACUGAUGCUCGAAAGUGUGGGUAUCAAACAGGAUUAGAUACCCUGGUGGUCCACACAGUAAACGAUGAAUACUCGCUGUUUGCGAUAUACAGUAAGCGGCCAAGCGAAAGCAUUAAGUAUUCCACCUGGGGAGUACGCCGGCAACGGUGAAACUCAAAUGAAUUGACGGGG